rnacentral:rRNA from 1 species
CGGACGGGUGAGUAAUGUCUGGGAAACUGCCUGAUGGAGGGGGAUAACUACUGGAAACGGUAGCUAAUACCGCAUAACGUCGCAAGACCAAAGAGGGGGACCUUCGGGCCUCUUGCCAUCAGAUGUGCCCAGAUGGGAUUAGGCUAGUAGGUGGGGUAACGGCUCACCUAGGCGACGAUCCCUAGCUGGUCUGAGAGGAUGACCAGCCACACUGGAACUGAGACACGGUCCAGACUCCUACGGGAGGCAGCAUG